rnacentral:lncRNA from 1 species
AUGAUCCUGGGGGCUGUGGUGGUCCUGGAGUCCGGGUGGGGGUCCUUGGGGUCUCUGAUCCGCGGGGGGGGGAUCCCAGGGUCUGGUCAGGGGUCCCUGGGGUCUAUGAUGCACGGGGAGGAGUUCCGAGGUCCCCAUUCAGGGUGGGGGUGCUCGUCCCCAGGGGUCGGACAGGGGUCCCGGAGGGGAUGGGGGUGCGCGUGCGGGGCGGGAAUCGGGGGCGCGUGCAGGCGAGGCUGGGGCGCGUGCAGGAGGGGCGGGGGCGCGCUCGGGGGGGGGUGGGAGUCGGGGGCGCGUGCUCGCUCGAGACGGGGGCGCGCGCAAGAGGGGCGGGGGCGCGCGGGGAGUCGGAGGCGCGCGUGGAGAGUCGGGGACGCGCGCGAGGUGGGAAUCAGGGGCGUGCGCAGUGGAGCGGGGGCGCGCUCGGGGCGGGAGUUGGGGCGCGCUCUGGGGAGUCGGGGACGCGCUCUGGAGAGUCGGGGACGCGUGGGGGCGGGGGCGUGCUCGGGGCGGGAGUCGGGGUUGUGCGCGGGGCGGGGGCGCGCGCGGGGCGGGAGUCGGGGGCUCCGGCAGGCGAGGCUGGGGCGCGGGCGCACUCGGCAGGGGGGGGGGGAGUCGGGGGCGCGCGCGCGAGACGGGGGCGCGCGCAGGAGGGGCUGGGGAACACAGGAGAGUCGGGGGCGCGCGCGCGGGGCUGGAGUCGGGGCGCGCGCGGGACUCAGGGCGCGAGCAGGGGCGGGGGCGCGCUGGGGAGUCGGGGGCGCGCUCAGGGCGGGGAGCGUGGGCACGCGCGGGGGGGCGGGCCGUGGGCGCGCUCAGGGCGUGGGCGCGCUCGGGAGGGUCGGGGACGCUCGGGGAGCGGGGGCGCGAGCGCGGGGCAGGAGUCGGGGGCGCGCUGGGGCGUGGGCGCGCUCUGGGAGUCGGGGGCGCGCGCAGGGCGGGGGCGCGCUCUGGAGAGUCGGGGACGCGUGGGGGCGUGGGCGCGCUCGGGGCGGGAGUUGGGGGCGCGCGCAGGGCGGGGAUGCGCUCGGGGCGGGAGUCGGGGGCGCGCUCGGGGCGGGAGUCGGGGGCGCGCGCAGGGCGGGGGCGCGCGCGGGCGGGGCGCGCGCCGGGCGGGAGUCGGGGGCGCGCGUGGAGAGUCCGGGACGCGCGCGAGGUGGGAAUCAGGGGCGUGCGCAGUGGAGCGGGGGCGCGCUCGGGGCGGGAGUUGGGGGCGCGCUCUGGGGAGUCGGGGACGCGUGGGGGCGGGGGCUUGCUCGGGGCGGGAGUCGGGGUUGCGCGCGGGGCGGGGGCGCGCGGGGGCGGGAGUCGGGGGCGCGGGCAGGCGAGGCUGGGGCGCGGGCGCACUCGGCAGGGGGGUGGGAGUCGGGGGCGCGCGCGCGAGACGGGGGCGCGUGCAGGAGGGGCUGGGGAGCACGGGAGAGCCGGGGGCGCGCGCGCGGGGCUGGAGUCGGGGCGCGCGCGGGACUCAGGGCGCGAGCAGGGGCGGGGGCGCGCUGGGGAGUCGGGGGCGCGCUCAGGGCGGGGAGCGUGGGCGCGCGCGGGGGGGCGGGCCGUGGGCGUGCGCAGGGCGGGGGCGCGCUCUGGAGAGUCGGGACGCGUGGGGCGUGGGCGCGCUCGGGGCGGGAGUCGGGGGCGCGCGCAGGGCGGGGAUGCGCUCGGGGCGGGGAGUCGGGGGCGCGCUCGGGGCGGGAGUCCGGGGCGCGCGGGGGGGGGCGUGGGCGCGCUCGGGGCGGGAGUCGGGGGCGCGCGCGGGGCGGGGGCGCGCGCGGGCGUGGGCGCGCUCGGGCGGGAGUCGGGCGCGCGCGCAGGGCGGGGGCGCGCUCGGGAGGGUCGGGGACGCGCGGGGAGCGGGGGCGCGGGAGUCGGGGGCGCGCGGGGGCGUGGGCACGCUCGGGGCGGGAGUCGGGGGUGCGCGCAGGGCGGGGGCGCGCGCGGGGCGGGAGUCGGGGGCGCGCGCGGGGCGGGAGUCGGGGGCGCGCGGGGGCGUGGGCACGCUCGGGGCGGGAGUCGGGGGUGCGCGCAGGGCGGGGGCGCGCUCGGGGCGGGAGUCGGGGGUGCGCGCAGGGCGGGGCCGCGCGAAGGGCGGGAGUCGGGGGCGCGCGGGGGCGCGGGCGCGCGCGGGGCGGGAGGCGGGGGCGCGCGCGGGGCGGGAGUCGGGGGCGCGCGCGCGCGGGGCGGGGCGUGGGCGCGGCGCGGGGCGGGCCGGCGCGGGCGCGUUUCCGCCGUCGGGCCCGGGGCUCCGAGUCCGGCCGGCGGCGCGGAAGCGGCGGCGGCGGCGGCGGCGGCGGCGGCGGCGGCGGGGCAGCCAUGUCGCCUUUGUCCGCGGCGCGGGCGGCCCUGCGGGUGUACGCGGUGGGCGCGGCGCUGGUCGUGGCGCAGCUGCUGCGUCGCUGCGUGCGGGGCUUCGUGGAGCCAGUCUUCUCUCCACAACCGGAACGUGUUGCCAUAGUGACCGGAGGGACCGAUGGCAUUGGAUACUCGACCGCAAAGCAGCUGGCGAAGCUGGGCAUGCACGUCAUCAUAGCCGGAAAUAAUGACAGCAAAGCCCAGGACGUCGUGAGGAGGAUAAAAGAGGACACGCUCAACGACCAAGUGGAGUUUCUGUAUUGCGACCUGGCGUCCAUGAGGUCUAUCCGGGAGUUCGUCCAGACAUUCAAAAUGAAGAAGCUGCCCCUCCACGUCCUGGUGAAUAACGGUCACCUUGAACUCCCCCUGUGCCUGGAGCCUCCUCGCGGUCGACUGGAGUCAGAGAGUUGCCGCUUGAAUCUGUCAGCAGAGCUUGUGUGUGGAGACCAUCCGAGCUGGCACACCCCUCGGGCUGCACGGGAGCUGUCCUCUCUGUGAUCGCUGGGAAACACAUAAUCCGAACGGACUGAGUGUAUAGGUCCACCCUUAAGGAGGUGGCUCAGGGGGGUGUCCUUCAGCUCAGAUCUCCAUGCACCUGACCGCAAGUGCCCCAACCAAAAAAAAAUUAAAAGAACACGAAAGAGUCCAGUGGGUCUGUCCAGUGGCGUUAGCUCCAGAGCCCGUCAGCUGGGCCCAGGUCUGGCUGACCACACUCUCCUGGGUGGUUUCUCUGCUGCCAGUGUCCAAGAAAUCAAAGACCAUUUUCCCCUCACCUUGGUGAACAGGGAUGGAACCCAGACGCCUUGCAAUGCAACCGUGGACUCCUAACCUUACUGGACCACGAUGGAACUCCCCCAAAAGCAUCUUGAAGAUGUGAGAAGCAGCACCAGCUUUUUUAUAACCUGGUGCUCAACUCCGCAGGCUGAGGCCCUGGAGACACCUUCAAAUUCAACCCUCAGUUCCUGCUGACCCCCACGUCCCCUUCCAGUGCCCCUGUUCCACGAGGUGGCGUGUUUUCCAGUGGAUGCUGAUACAGUGAAGGGCUUCCCUGGUGGUUCCGUGGUCAAGAAUCCAGCUGCCAAGCAGGAGAUGCAGGUUCGAUCCCUGGGUCGGGAAGAUCCCCUGGAGGAGGAAAUGGCAAACCCACUCCAGAAUUCUUGUCUGGAGAAUCCCCUGGACAGAGGAGCUUGGCGGGCUGCAAUCCAUGGGGUCACAAGGAGUCAGACACGAAUGAGUGGCUAAGCACAGCACAGCGGGUUCGUAAAUACCUGCUUUCUUGUUAAUAAUCAUCUUUUAUGAAGUACAAUGCCUGUACAAUGUUAUCUGUUGCACGUGUACAGGAUGAAAGGGAAACGGGUGGUCGCUCAACUGUGUCCGACUCUUUCUGACCCCAUGGACUGUAGCCCACCAGGCUCCUCUGUCCAUGGGAUCCCCCAGGCAAGAAUUACUGGGGCGGGUUGCCAUUUCCUCCUCCAGGGGAAUCUUCCUGACCCAGGGA